rnacentral:rRNA from 1 species
UACGUAGGGGGCAAGCGUUAUCCGGAUUUACUGGGUGUAAAGGGAGCGCAGACGGAACUGCAAGUCUGAUGUGAAAGCCCGGGGCUCAACCGCGGGACUGCAUUGGAAACUGUAGAUCUGGAGUGCCGGAGGGGCAAGCGGAAUUCCUGGUGUAGCGGUGAAAUGCGUAGAUAUCAGGAGGAACACCGGCGGCGAAGGCGGCUUGCUGGACGGCAACUGACGUUGAGGCUCGAAAGCGUGGGGAGCAAACAGGAUUAGAUACCCUGGUA